UCCAGCUCCUGAAGCCUCUCCUCAGUGAACGGGAAUGCCUCCGCACCGUGGACCGCUAUUGGAGCUUUCGCAUCUGUGUUGACUGUCUUCCCAUCAGGACCAAUGGCGACGAGAGAAGGGAUCCCACGGAUUUUGAACAUCUUUGACAGGUAUGCCUUCCUUUCAUCUCCCAGGGGAAGGGCGAGCCAUGGCAUGCCGGAGAAGAAGUCAUCGAAGGAGUCCUUGUCUCUGUCGCUGGAGACGAAGACGAUCUCAAAAUCACUGUUCUUAUCCUUAAUCUUGUUGUAUACAUCCACAAGUGUCGGCAGGAAGGCCCUGCAUGGUCCACA